rnacentral:rRNA from 1 species
UUAGAGUUUGAUCAUGGCUCAGAACGUACGCUGGCGGCACGCCUAAUACAUGCAAGUCGAACGAAGUAGCAAUACUUAGUGGCAGACGGGUGAGUAACAUGUAGGUAUCUUCCCAUUGGUGAGGAAUAACACGAGGAAACUUGUGCUAAUACCUCAUAAGUCUUUACGGAGAAAGCUUUAUGCGCCGAUGGAUGAGCCUGCACUUGAUUAGUUUGUUGGUAGGGUAAUGGCCUACCAAGACAAUGAUCAAUAGCUGAUUUGAGAGGAUGAUCAGCCACAUUGGGACUGAGACACGGCCCAAACUCCUACGGGAGGCAGCAGUAGGGAAUCUUGCACAAUGGGGGAAACCCUGAUGCAGCGAUGCCGCGUGAGUGAAGAAGGCCUUUGGGUUGUGAAGCUCUUUCGUCGGGGAAGGAAAUGACUGUACCCGAAUAAGAAGAUCCGGCUAACUUCGUGCCAGCAGCCGCGGUAAUACGAAGGGACCUAGCGUAGUUCGGAAUUACUGGGCUUAAAGAGUUCGUAGGUGGUUAAAAAAGUUGGUGGUGAAAUCCCAAGGCUUAACCUUGGAACUGCCAUCAAAACUUUUUAGCUAGAGUGUGAUAGAGGUAAGUGGAAUUUCUAGUGUAGAGGUGAAAUUCGUAGAUAUUAGAAAGAACACCAAAAGCGAAGGCAACUUACUGGGUCACUACUGACACUGAGGAGCGAAAGCAUGGGUAGCGAAGAGGAUUAGAUACCCUCGUAGUCCAUGCCGUAAACGAUGAGUGCUAGACGUUGGAAAUAUAUUUUUCAGUGUCGCAGCGAAAGCAUUAAGCACUCCGCCUGGGGAGUACGACCGCAAGGUUAAAACUCAAAUGAAUUGACGGGGACCCGCACAAGCAGUGGAGCAUGUGGUUUGAUUCGAAGAUACGCGCAGAACCUUACCAACGCUUGACAUGUUCGUCGCGACUCUAAGAGAUUAGAGUCUUCGGUUCGGCCGGACGAAACACAGGUGCUGCAUGGCUGUCGUCAGCUCGCGUCGUGAGAUGUUGGGUUAAGUCCCGCAACGAGCGCAACCCCUACUUUUAGUUGCCACCAUUUAGUUGGGCACUUUAAAAGAACUGCCAGUGAUAAGCUGGAGGAAGGUGGGGAUGACGUCAAGUCCUCAUGGCCCUUAUGUGUUGGGCUACACACGUGCUACAAUGGUACUUACAAUGGGAUGCAAAGAGGCGACUCUUAGCUAAUCCCUAAAAUGUACCUCAGUUCGGAUUGUACUCUGUAACUCGAGUGCACGAAGCUGGAAUUGCUAGUAAUCGCGGAUCAGCGCGCCGCGGUGAAU